UACGUAGGUCCCGAGCGUUGUCCGGAUUUAUUGGGCGUAAAGCGAGCGCAGGUGGUUUAUUAAGUCUGGUGUAAAAGGCAGUGGCUCAACCAUUGUAUGCAUUGGAAACUGGUAGACUUGAGUGCAGAAGAGGAGAGUGGAAUUCCAUGUGUAGCGGUGAAAUGCGUAGAUAUAUGGAGGAACACCGGUGGCGAAAGCGGCUCUCUGGCCUGUAACUGACACUGAGGCUCGAAAGCGUGAGGAGCAAACAGG
rnacentral:rRNA from 1 species